rnacentral:tRNA from 1 species
UGCGGGGUCGUCUAAUGGUAGGACAUCAGCCUUUGGAGCUGAGUGUGUAGGUUCGAAUCCUACCCCCGCAACAA